AAGAGAAAUUAUGGGUUCCAUCAAAACUAAUAAAAAUCAGAAAUGAUAGAGGAAGAGCACCUGAAGAUCUUGGCCACACACAAGAAGAGAGAAAUCAAGAAGACUUAACAGAACAGAUUCUCUGACAAUGAGACAGCUCAUCUCCUGGCAGCACCCAGCCAAAGAACCUCCAUAUGGAAAUGGCUUUAAAUGUGGCAAACCAGCCACCCAGGCAACUAAAAAUGGAGGCCUAGCACUAAGGACCCACAUCAGGUGGUGAAGAUGUGUGCUAGAGAAUCAACAUGACUAAUGUGCUAGCAUGACCUUCACAGAGUUUGAAGUAAGUUCUCUCAAAAAGUAGUGAGUUUGGGAAGGACAGGAGAAAUAGAUGGUUUAGCAGUUAAGAGCAGUUCUUCCAGAGGACCCAAAUUUAGUUCCUAGCACCCUUGUGGGGGCAUAUGGAAUUCUAGUCCCUUGUAAUUCUAGUCCCAGGGGAUAUGCUGCCCUCUUAUGGCCACUCUCUAAGAAUCAGGUACACAUACUGCUUAUACAUACAUGCAGGCAAAACACUUGCCCACAUAAAAUUAAAAAAAAAAAAGUUUUUGUUAAAAUAGUGAGUUUUGUCUCAUAUACAUAAUUCAAACACAGGAUGGAUGGGUAUUUGUCUAAAUGUGAGGAAUUUUGAGGAUUGGGAGUGAUUGAAUUAGAAACACCUGAAGUAUUACUCAGAACUCCAAAACACCCAGGCCUGUCAGUAAGAUAUUUAGUGAUUCUCGUACCACUAGGUAGAGUCCCAUAUGGUUAAGUUUUUGUGUUUGUUGUUGUUGCUGUGAGACCUGACAAAAGCAACUUUAAAAAGGAAGGGCUUUUUUUUGGCUCAUUGUUUGGCUGGAAGGUAUUGUGGCCAGGAAGGCAUGGUAGCAGGUGCAUGGAGCAGCUUGUCACAUUGUUAUCUACAGUCAGAAAGGAGAGAGCAAUGGAUGCUGGUGUGCUCCGCUCACUCACUGCUUUCU